GGAAUAUUCCAUUACUCCUUUCUAGCGUUCUUAACUAAUUUGAGUGGAGGACGAAGAUCAUCAGAAAUUCGUCAUCAACUUGAGAAGUCUGAUGAAAUGGGGCUGAUAAUCCGGUGGUCUUGUCUUCUCAAUUAGCUGACCCCAGAUGCAACGGCCAGUUUGCCACCAGUCUACAAACUCUUGCAGACGAUUCUCCAUCACAUUAUGUCCUUUCUGUACACGAAGGAUGCUGCAGCCACUUGUAUUUUGAGGUUCCUAUCCUUUGUCUCCAUAUUAAUGGACUACCAGAGCCUCAUAGGGCUGAGGAUGAUAGUGCCAAGUGAAUUAUGCAAGCAAAAAACAAUUGAAUCAGAGGUCCAACAGGGUGCCACCAAUCAUACCACAAGUCAUCUGCACAUCUCCUACUACGAUUUGAAUGCAUUUCCUGGCAAUGGACCUCAACUUUUAGCAUCUUCCAGGAGGAAGAGGAACAAUUGGUAGUUGGAGCUGGUGUAAAAUUAUGAACUUGAAUGGUAAUUCUUUGAAGAAGGUGUCUCUUUCUGGACAAUGGCAAUGUUUGAAGUCCUUGUCAGAGGAUUGGAAUAGGAUAUUGUCGUUCAAGAAAGCCUCAAAGCUUUGAUAGGUUUACCAGAUUGUGCUCAACAAAAGAAUUUGGAGGAGAAGUUGAUGAAUUCCAUAUGCAGUUAUGAAAAUCUCCUAGUAAAUUAUAUCCAUCUCUCUUACAUGUCCUACGCCUUUUCAUCCUCCUGAUAACCAAGAGGAAGAACAAAAAAAAAAAAAAGAGUCUCCAACAAAUAGUUUUGGAUUUUGUGUCUGUCUUUUAAAGAUUUUGUGUAAGGGGAGGUUUCCUGGUUGUUGUUUCUAACGAUUGUGUCUUGAGAUCAUUUACAUAUGACCAGUUAUUUCAGAUUUUUAUUGUUAAAAAUUGAAAGGUGUUUGAACUUGUGACAAGGAUCAAGUGUCAUCUGAUGUGAUUGCUUAUGCUUUUUCAGGUGGCUUGGUACAUCACUUGGUAGCAGAACUGGAAUUUCUAGUAACAUAUACAAUUUUCAGCUGAACUGGAUCAUUUGCACCUGGAAAAUAAAGCAUAACAUGGUUAUAUCUGCUAGUGUUAUUCGAGAUGACAGGUUUUAGCUUAUUUCUUUUUUCAAUGAAAAACAUGUUCCUGGAUAAGAUCUUCAUCAUUUGGAAACUACUUGACAAGUAUAGUGGAAGUGAGUACCCUCACAAUUUAUUGGCACUGUUAAAUUGGCACUGUUGGAUUGGAUGAUGGAUACUGCAGCAAGGUCACAAGGCUCAAUGCAAGAUGUAUUGUUUGUAAUAGCUAUCAAUAGCCAGAAUUUUUGUGAGAAAAGGACUCAUUUCUUUCUUUAACAAACAAAAGAAACAGAUUAGUAAAAAAAUUUCAACCGAUGAGUUUACAAGGGCUCAU